rnacentral:tRNA from 1 species
ACAAAGUGUAGCUUAAACAAAAGCACCUAGUUUACACCUAUGAAGAUUUCACAUUAAAUGAUCCACUUUGA